rnacentral:rRNA from 1 species
GACGAACCGAGCGAACGUUAUUCGGAAUCACUGGGCUUAAAGGGUGCGUAGGCGGGCCCGUCAGUCAGGGGUGAAAUCCCACGGCCCAACCGUGGAAGUGCCUCUGAUACUGCGGGCCUGGAGGGGGAUAGGGGCGUGCGGAACUUCCGGUGGAGCGGUGAAAUGCGUAGAUAUCGGAAGGAACAUCGGUGGCGAAAGCGGCGCGCUGGAUCCCUUCUGACGCUGAGGCGCGAAAGCCAGGGGAGCGAACGGG